AACUCAUAGUCCGGGCUGGAAACUGAGUCUCUUUGUAAGCAGUCUUUGGAGUUUCUGAUGUUAGUUUUCAAGUUAUCCAACCCCUCCUUGGAGGAGUGAGUUUGCAGACCUGAAUCAGACUUCACCUUCACAUAGACCUUGCCUAGGAACUGGUUCAAACUACAGUUGGUUAAAUACUCCUUUAUUCUUUGAUGCUAAUAACACCUUCAUGACAAGCCUGGGGAGUAAUAAUUAUUAAUUCACUUUUGCUACCCAAGCAACGGAUGGAACUUAAGUUGCCCAAGAUCACACAGGUGAUUUAGAAUUGGAACCUAAUGUCCUCAAAGAGUGGAAGAGGGAAACAGAAGAAUCAGUGUCAAAGUGAUGCAUUCUGAGAAGACUCCACUGGCUAUUGCCGGCUUUGAAGACGGAACGGGGAGGCCAUAGGACAAGCAAUGUGAGCAGCCCCUAGGAGCUGGAAAAAGCAAGAAAGGAGAUCUUCUCCUGGAGCUUCCAGAAAUCAACACAGCUCUGACACACUUUGAUUUUAGCCCAGUAAGACCCAUUUUGAACUUCUAAUCUCCAGAACAAUAAAAUAAGAAAUUUAUGUGGUUUCAAGCUGCUAAAUCUGUGGUGAUCUGGUGAAGCAACAACAGGAAAUUAACACACUAUCCAAACUAAUAUUUGAAAUUCCACAAUGGUUUAAGACUUAACUAAUGGCAAAGGUACAUGAGUUUGAUCCCAAAGGACUCUGAAGAUACAGUUGAACCAAAGGAAGGCUACCUUCAGUAUAUUUUUUUGUCUCUCUUGAAAAUAAAUUCACCUUAUGCUAGAGAGUUCUUAACUUCUUCACCUAAGAAUAUUCGACGACUGAGGCAAUGAGAAGAUCUGAAAUAUCUACUACAGACUCAUACCAAUGAAUCUGCUUUCAUUCAACAGUCUCAGUCCCUAAAUUUAGUAGUUCCUAAAUCAGUCAUCAAUUAGAGAUAGAAAUAUCUUUUAAUGCAUACACAUUGUCUUCAAGAAAGCUCUUAAAGUCACCAGUUUUUAGCUAACAUAAUUGGGGAACAUGUAUACAUAUAUAUGAACAGAUUUCCUUAACUUAUACAGUAAUUACAUAGACUAGGCUAUGUGUCUCAUGCAAGAAAAAUAUGCAUAUAUCAGCUUAAAGAUCUCCCAGUAUACCCCAAUUAUAACAGUUGUACCAUAACCAUAAAUCACAGUUACACAGUAACUCUAAAUCAUUAAUUAAUGCAAUAAGUACUCACUGAACACUCAUUAUGUGCUAAACAUUAUUCUUGGUGAUUGGGACGUAUCAGAGAGUCACUGUAUUUCCUAGAAAACUUUUUCUUGAGAACUUUUUAAAUGUUCUCAUUUAAACUUAACUCCUAAUUCACAUAGUAUCUCAAGCUCCAUAAUCCUGACACUCCUAAAAAUUCUGUUCCACUCAUCAUACUGAAUGCCUGAUACAGUGAUUAAGAAAAUAUGUUGUACAGUCAGACAAAUUUGGGUUUGGGACACUCUCAACUACUAGCUGGGACAUUGGUCAAGGUAAUAAAAAUUAGUUGUAACUUUCUUUUCUGUAAAAUGGAAAUGAUAAUAUUUAUCCUACAGAAUUGUUGGAAACUGUAAUUACAAUUAAUACAUUAUUCAUAUAGCAUCUUACAUGGUAUCAAGUAUUCAAUAAUGAUCAUUAUUGUUUAUAUUAUUACUAUCAUAUCAUAGUGCUUAAAUUGUAUCACUUUUUAUUAUACUUGUUAUGUUGUUGCUAUUUGCCCACUAAUAUAGGCCUGAGAAACAAAAGACACAAAUUCUGACUAAGACAUAGAGGUAAUUCUGCCAUGAUAUUGACCUUGCUGAUUUGUAACUUAUUUGCACCUCCAGUUAUAACAAGGCAAUUGAUUUUGAAUGAGCUUUACUAGUUUGUUUGGGUUUUCCUAAAUCUUAGUGGUCUGAUCAUCCUAUUCACUGAAAAGAGUGUUUACCAGCAAACGGUGGUGGGAGCAGGACGUAUCUCUUUAGAUACAUUCAGAAGGAAAGUUGUUUCUGCCUAUUGUAAGCAGACUCAUGACAGUAACACCUAACCCUUCCUUAGGGUUAAGAUCUUAUGCUUAUGUUUAGUUUCUCAUUCACGUCUGAUUCUUUGCAAGCCCAUGGACUGUAGCCUGCCGGGCUCCUCUGUCCGUGGGAGUUUUCAAGCAAGAAUACUGGAGUAGGUUGUCAUGUCUUCCAGGGGAUCUUCCUGACCCAGGGAUUGAACCCUCAUCUCCUUCUUGCACUGCAGGCAGAUUCGUUACCUGCUGAGCCAUCAGGGUCAAGUACUCACAAAUCCAAGGAAGAGAUCAUCAGCUUUGCAACAAAUAUUAAUACAACAGAAUGGAACAUAGUUUGGGCAGCCAGGCUGUUUUCUCUAGGUUAAAAUUAAAAAGUUGAAGCAAUUUCAGGGAGAAUGUUCUGAGAUCAUCUUUCUAAACAACCCCAAAGAGAAAAUUUAAGUAUCUGACAGCUGAGUGUCAUUAAUAAAAGUAAUAUAAUUACAUAUCUGAUACCUACAAUCUAUUAUCUAUCUACGUAGUCUCAUUUCCAUUCCCCUUCCCCCACUGAUUUCCAAAGAAUUUUUUGUGACAUUGAAAUAAAGGAGUUUUGUGUCCAUAUAAACAUUUUUAUUGGGCAAUAAUGACUAGAAAUGUUUCACUUUCAUUGACAAGUUUAAGUACACUUCUUUUUUUUUUUUUGACAUUUUAGAAAUCAGGCAUAAGAAUACAAAUAUAUUUAUCAUCCAUUGGCUGAGAUAAUAGCUCCCCAUUGGGGCCCAAUAAAUAGCCUCUAAUGUUUAUUUGAUCAAUAAACAAUUAAAUUGGGAUCCAAAGGCCAACAAACAUACAGGCAAGAAUCCAUGAGUGUGUGGCUCGCCUUGGAACCAGGCAUUUAGCCUUGAUGCACACACUUCCUUGCUGAAAGCAAGCGCUUUGCACAUAAGCCACACACUAUGUUGAUCUGAGAAACUCAGAGCCCAAAUCCCAGUUGACAAAGCACACCUG